CAGCAGCGCGGUAACACGUAGGGUGCAAGCGUUAAUCGGAAUUACUGGGCGUAAAGCGUGCGCAGGCGGUUAUAUAAGACAGAUGUGAAAUCCCCGGGCUCAACCUGGGAACUGCAUUUGUGACUGUAUAGCUAGAGUACGGCAGAGGGGGAUGGAAUUCCGCGUGUAGCAGUGAAAUGCGUAGAUAUGCGGAGGAACACCGAUGGCGAAGGCAAUCCCCUGGGCCUGUACUGACGCUCAUGCACGAAAGCGUGGGGAGCAAACAGGAUUAGAUACCCCCGUAGUCCCUGUCUCUUAUACA
rnacentral:rRNA from 1 species